rnacentral:rRNA from 1 species
ACAGCAGCCGCCGCGGUAACACGUAGGUGGCAAGCGUUGUCCGGAUUUAUUGGGCGUAAAGCGAGCGCAGGCGGUUCCUUAAGUCUGAUGUGAAAGCCCCCGGCUCAACCGGGGAGGGUCAUUGGAAACUGGGGAACUUGAGUGCAGAAGAGGAGAGUGGAAUUCCACGUGUAGCGGUGAAAUGCGUAGAGAUGUGGAGGAACACCAGUGGCGAAGGCGACUCUCUGGUCUGUAACUGACGCAGAGGAGCGAAAGCGUGGGGAGCGAACAGGAUUAGAUACCCCCGUAGUCCCUGUCUCUUAUAC